rnacentral:tRNA from 1 species
AAGGGAGACCUAAUUCCGGUGGGAGACGAAAAAAAAGUAGUCCCAACCAAGAAUCAAUCCCAAAAGGUCGGAACGAGGUAUGAGGCUUUCAAACUAGGUUCUGGGUUCAUAAAAGACCUGAAUCAGGAACAAGGGCUAUUAGCUCAGGUGGUUAGAGCGCACCCCUGAUAAGGGUGAGGUCCCUGGUUCGAGUCCAGGAUGGCCCACCUGCACAGGUGGCAAAAACAAGAGAAGCUCCGAAUCAGCACCUUAUCUUAUAUACAUAUAUAAGAGAGAAUGCUGGCUCUGAGUAAAGAGUCCAGAGGAACCUUGAAAACUGCAUAGAGCUAGGUGAAAAAGCCAAAAAAGAAGACCGCAA